rnacentral:rRNA from 1 species
AUGGCGACCGGCGCACGGGUGAGUAACACGUAUCCAGCCUGCCGAUAACUCGGGGAUAGCCUUUCGAAAGAAAGAUUAAUACCCGAUGGUAUAAUCAGACCGCAUGGUUUGAUUAUUAAAGAAUUUCGGUUAUCGAUGGGGAUGCGUUCCAUUAGGCAGUUGGUGAGGUAACGGCUCACCAAACCUUCGAUGGAUAGGGGUCCUGAGAGGAAGGUCCCCCACAUUGGAACUGAGACACGGUCCAA